CAACUCAAAACUGACAAGACAUUGCACCACAUCGUUCUGUAGCUUUGAUAGCUUGGAUGGAUCGAUUGCCUUCUGCGAAAUCGCAUUAAGAAACGCGCAUAGCUUUACGAGCGGCAACCGGACAUUUUCUGGUAGAACACCCCUUAGUGCAACUGGAAGCAACUAGGUCAUCAACAUGUGGCAGUCAUGGGCCUUGAGAUUUGUAAACUUCUUUUGUUUCAUAUUUAUUAUUCCCUUUAUAUUCGAGGAGUACCCAGAUGGGACCUUCAUACUAUUCAAGCAUUCAAACAUGCUAUCCUUCUCUUCCUUGCUGAGAGUGUAACUGGCAGGAUGUAAGUACUGUUGUUCAUUAUCUCGCUUUUUCGGAUGUAGGUCAUCUCGUUGCCCCAUGGCUUUCAGGUCCUGUUGUACUUCCAAUGUAUCUUUCGAGGUCCUAUAAACACCCAUGAAGCCUAGCACGUUCACGCAAAGAUUCUUCGUCAGGUGCAUCACAUCUAUUGCAUUGCGAACCUCUAGGAUUUCUCAAUAAGGUAGCUCCCAAAAUAUUGACUUUUUCUUCCACAUGGGUGCAUGUCCGUUAUCAUCGUUCGGAACAGGUUGGCUACCAAGACCCUUUCCAAAGACUACAUUUACAUCCUUCAUCAUCUCGAAGACACGCUUUCCAUUACAGUGUGCAGGUUUUUUACGAUGGUCUAGCGCCCCUUUGAAAUGCAUCGCGCUCUUUCUCAGCUGGUGGUGAGCAGGGAGAAAUCGAUGAUGACCCAUAUAGACGACCUUCUUACAGUACUUCAAAUACAUGCUGUCUGUGUCGUCUAAACAGUGGGUGCAUGCCCGAUAUCCCUUAUUUGUCUGUCCUGAAAGGUUACUCAGUGCAGGACAAUCAUUGAUGGUUACGAACAACAAUGCUCGUAGAUUAAAGAUCUGUUGUCUAUCCUCAUCUCACACACGUACACCUUCUUCCUUCCAGAGCUGUAAAAGGUCAUCAACCAAUGGUCUUAGGUACAUCAAUGUCGUUGCCGAGUUAUUUUGGGCCUUGGAUAAGCGCUGGCAUCAUAAUGAACUUCCGCUUCAUGCACAGCGAAGGAGGAAGGUUGAACAUACAUAGGGUCACAGGCCAAGUACUAUGGCCACUACUCAACUCACCGAAUGGAUUGAAUCCAUCAGUACUUAAACCAAACCUUAUGUUCCUUGCUUCACUUUCAAAGUCCGGGAAUGCUCUAUCAAUUGAUCUCCACUGGGCCCCAUCUGCGGGGUGUCUCAGCAUCUCAUCUUUCAUACGUUCUUAUUUGUGCCAUCGCAUCAACUUAGCAUUCACCUUGUUCCUGAACAAGCGCUUUAAGCAUGGUAUUAUAGGGAAAUACCACAUCACCUUCGCGGGAACUCUCUUCUUGGGAGACUGCCCCUCGACAUCACCAUGAUCAUCUCGCCUGAUCUUAUACCGCAGCGCUUCGCAGACAGGACAAGCAUCCAAUUUCUCGUAUUCAUCACCACGAUAGAGGAUACAGUCAUUAGGGCAUGCGUGUAUCUUCUGAACAUCCAAUCCGAGAGGGCAAAUAGUCUGUUUAGCUUCAUAUGUUGUGGACGGUAAUUCAUUAUUCUCGGGAAGAAUCUUCUUGAUAAUGUUCAACAUCCCCUAAAAUGCCUUAUCGGACACACCAUUUUUUGCCUUCCAUUGCACAAAUUCUAGUGUCGUAUCUAGUUUUUUAUGGCCCUGCUGGCAACCUGGGUACAACAAUUUUUGGUGAUCAUCUAUCAUGCGCUGCAACAUUGCUGCUUCCUUCUUAGUUUCGUAGCACUUAGCAGAGUCCUGUGUUUUUAAUAAACAGUCGCUACCCCCUGGUAUGUGCCGCUUUCCUAAUCAAAAGAUAGGAGAGCACCCCUUCUCCCGAAGUUACGGGGUCAUUUUGCCGAGUUCCUUCGACAUGGUUCUCUCGACGCGCCCUAGUAUACUCUACUUGUUCACCUGUGUCGGUUUGGGGUACGGUCAGUUCACCGGGAGGAUCGCCCUCCCAAUUCGAAGUUUUUUCCUGGAAGUUUCAACCGUCGUUGACUAUGACAAUAGUCGUGACCGACUAUUAAGAUCCUUGCGACUAUGGCAGGGCGGUACACUCUGCUCUCUCGCGACCUCUACUCUAAUCAAAAGACUAAAGGCUCCUACGGAAGAUGAAAAAGGCGAGGACUGAAAUGAGAAAGGAAGGAGUUCGGCAAGACGACUUCGGUUCACACGUGAAAGUGCUUCGAAAGGUGUCAGCAGGUGCGCAGAGCUGGAGCCGGCAUGUUCGCCCGCUGGGCCGAGUGUUCACCCACUUCAAAGUCUUCUUAGAGAGUCGAUCCGUGUCCGUCCCAGCAAGAAAACGGCUGCGCGUUAUUGUACUAACGCGCGAUGGAGCAAGAAAACGUAUGCGCGUGUACGGAAGCGCAACGGCUUUCGCGCUCAUCCCUUGCUUCAAAACUAAAGGUUUUAGCCCUCCGUUUGCUGGUCGCCAAAGACGAGAGCUUCGCCUUUGGAAGCGCCAGUAGCGUAGGGCGACCGGGCCAGCCGAGCCCCUCUGAAUUAGUUGACGGCUUUGAUGACUCGACGGUGAAUAUUAAGGAAAGGAGAGCGAGGGGAAGAGGGGUUUUAAAAACCCUUGGCCCGAUCAUCCAAUUCGCUCCGACGAUCCAGGCAUGGUUCAGUAGUCAAAGCAACUUCGUCACUUUCAUGUACCCAUCGGACGGCAGCCCUUUCGGGGGUUCCUUAGGGACCGAUUCACUCUGCGUAGAUUGACUGAAUGCAGAAAGCCUUCCACUGGCAGGCGAUCGUGUUUUUCACAGGAUUUCUUGU
rnacentral:lncRNA from 1 species